CGCUGGCGGCGUGCCUAAUACAUGCAAGUCGAACGGUCUUUCUAUGGAAGCUUGCUUCCACUGAGAAGAUAGUGGCGAACGGGUGAGUAACACGUGGGUAACCUGCCCAUAAGAGGGGGGAUAACAUCCGGAAACGGGUGCUAAUACCGCAUAGUUUUCUUGAUCGCAUGAUCGGGAAAGGAAAGACGGCCUUUGUGCUGUCGCUUAUGGAUGGACCCGCGGCGUAUUAGUUAGUUGGUGAGGUAACGGCUCACCAAGACGAUGAUACGUAGCCGACCUGAGAGGGUGAUCGGCCACAUUGGGACUGAGACACGGCCCAAACUCCUACGGGAGGCAGCAGUAGGGAAUCUUCCGCAAUGGACGAAAGUCUGACGGAGCAACGCCGCGUGAGUGAAGAAAGGUUUUCGGAUCGUAAAACUCUGUUGUCAGAGGAGAACAAGUUGGAGAGUAACUGCUCCAGCCUUGACGGUAUCUGACCAGAAAGCCACGGCUAACUACGUGCCAGCCGCAGC
rnacentral:rRNA from 1 species